UCCGUCCACCCCUGAACCCUAC
rnacentral:miRNA from 1 species